rnacentral:rRNA from 1 species
UCAGGAUGAACGCUGGCGGCGUGCUUAACACAUGCAAGUCGAACGAAGCACUUUCUUACGAUCCCUUCGGGGUGACGAGUUUGUGACUGAGUGGCGGACGGGUGAGUAACGCGUGGGUAACCUGCCUUAUACAGGGGGAUAACAGUUGGAAACGGCUGCUAAUACCGCAUAAGCGCACAGUAUCGCAUGAUACAGUGUGAAAAACUCCGGUGGUAUAAGAUGGACCCGCGUCUGAUUAGCUAGUUGGUGAGGUAACGGCUCACCAAGGCGACGAUCAGUAGCCGAUCUGAGAGGAUGAACGGCCACAUUGGGACUGAGACACGGCCCAGACUCCUACGGGAGGCAGCAGUGGGGAAUAUUGCACAAUGGGCGAAAGCCUGAUGCAGCGACGCCGCGUGAGCGAUGAAGUAUUUCGGUAUGUAAAGCUCUAUCAGCAGGGAAGAUAAUGACGGUACCUGACUAAGAAGCACCGGCUAAAUACGUGCCAGCAGCCGCGGUAAUACGUAUGGUGCAAGCGUUAUCCGGAUUUACUGGGUGUAAAGGGAGCGUAGGCGGUCUUGCAAGUCUGAUGUGAAAGCCCGGGGCUCAACCGCGGGAUUGCAUUGGAAACUGUAGGACUUGAGUAUCGGAGAGGUAAGUGGAAUUCCUAGUGUAGCGGUGAAAUGCGUAGAUAUUAGGAGGAACACCAG